UGGGUGUGAAACGUGAGGGGCGUGGCUUCCUUGUCCAACUCUGAUUCUGCUCUACGUGUGGAUCCCAGCCGUGGGCUGCUCUUCUGUGGCAAAUAUCCAUUUGACUGACAUGGCUGCCACAAGACUUAUGUAGGCCAUCUCCAGCUUCUGUUUCAGGGGCAUCCCUCCAGAAAGUGUUGGUACAGUCUUGUUGCUGUCCUCCGGAAGGGGAGGUGCAAGUGCAGAGAUGGUCCUCAGGUUCCUUCAGUUCCUGCUUAUGUAGGGACUGAGGGGCAGGUCUCCCAGAGGGAACAUGGAGGUCUCCAAACCCAUGAUCCUUGCUCAGUCUUCUCAGGGUCUGUGCAGUCUGCUCAGGCCUAGACAGGUUCUGGACAUUAAAACAAUUCGUUCAUUUCUUUGACUCCUCUUUUCUAUGGGCACCCCUGAGGAAGCUCUGAAGAGCCAGGUUUGGGUUGGGGAAGCCCUGGGGAGAUAGGCUUCUUCUUUAAAUACAGCUUGAUGGGGCAGCAAGUAAGAAAUUGUGUAAUUCCCAUAGGAUUUUAAGAAGUACAGUCUCCAUAUCCAGGAGCCCCGGAGAGGUG